rnacentral:lncRNA from 10 species
AUAAGAAGGUGGCAAUGAUUCAACCAUGGGUCAUUUGGCAACUCUCAUUAGCAGGUGACAGGGCUGUGGUGAAGGGCAAAGGAGAAUCAUUCCAAUUAUGUCCCAUAGCUUUUACUUGUUCCUCCAAUUCCAUGCCUUUCUCAAUUUUGCUUUUUUUUUUUUUUUUCAGGGUCUCACUCUGUCACCCAGGCUACAUACAGUGUGGUGGCACAAUGGCAGCUCACUUCAGUCUCAACCUCCUGGGCUCAAGCAAAUCCUCCCAGCUCAGCCUUCUAAGUAGCUAGGAAUAUAGGCACAUGCCAUCAUGUCCGGCUAAUUUUCUUCUUCUCAUUAUUAUUAUUAUUUUGUAGAGACAGGGUCUCAUUAUGUUUCCCAUGCUGGUCUCGAACUCCUGGGCUCAAGCCGUCCCUCCACCUCGGCCUGCCAAAGUGAUGGGGUUACAGGUGUGAGCCAUUGCAACCAACAAUUUUGCUUUUCAGUGUAGUUGUUUGCAUACUUGCCUCCCCAGUAAGAUUUUAAAGGUGUGCAAAGGCAUAAACUAGACACGUAUUCAUCAGUGACCCCUAUAGCACUUAGCAGGAUACUUUGCAGGAAUAUUCUGCAGUAAUUGCUGCUUCAUAAAUGUUGGUUGGAUUAUAUCUUCAAAUAUCUGGUCCUGUGGAUUUAUUCCACAGAUGCUGCAUUAAACAUUUGGCUAUAAGCAUAAACAGACAUGUGGGAUAGGCUUUGUGCUUGGCCUGAAAGAGUUUCACUCUUUUUAAAAAAUUAAAGUUUUAAAAUAUAUUUUGGAGACAGAGUCUCAUUCUGUCACUCAAGUCUGGAGUGCCAUGAUGCUAUCACAGGUCACUGCAGCCUCAAACCCCUGGGCUCAAGUGAUCCUCACACCUCAGCCUCCCGAGUAGCUGGGACUACAGUUGUGAGCCACCAUGCCCUGCUAAUGUUUUCAUUUUUAUAGAGGUCUUGUUAUGUUGCCCAGGAUGGUCUCAAACUCCUGUCCUCAAGCGAUCCCGUGCCACCUCAGCAUCCCAAAAUGUUGGGAUCACAGGUGUGAGCCACAGCACCUGGCAGGAAACUGACUCUUUAUUAAAUCUCCAGCAAGGAGAGAUGGUGGCAAGACACUGACUUUGAAUUGGAGGAUGGGAUUGAAGACUGCUCCUGCUUCUUCCUUGGUCAAUGCAUUAAUAACCAGCUCAGAAAAUAAUAUGUCAACCAGAUUUUCUCUCUCAGCAGUGAAUAACAUCUCAGAAUACCUUGGAGUUGAAGCAAUUUCAGAUUGGAGAGUUAAGUAACUUUACCCAAGAUUACAUGACCAGGAAAUAGAGAAGGUGGGACUCUAACUGCAGUCUACAUUUUACAGGUGACUAUGGAAUGCCACUAUAUUGUAUUUCCAGGUAGACUGUGAAUGGUUGAAACAUGCUCCUGUUGUCUGCUAACUGCUUAACGCCAGCUUCUGGGGUGCUACUUUCUCAAAAGAUGUAAUUGGCAUCAGGAUGGCCCUUCUCAUCUUAACAUUUGCUUUCAUGUAGAUUCUAGAAUGUUUGCAAAUACUUGUAUCUUAGUCCAUGGGUAGAUGAUUGUUUUAGCAGAAAAGGAUUUAUGUCACUUUAUAGAAGCAUAGGGAUUUAAGAUUGCCCUUGAAGAAUGGGCAGGGCUCAGAACAAUUAAAUGGAGUGAUGAUAGUCAGUUGAACUAUCUACUGCCACGGGCUGUGGUCUAGAUGAACCGAGCCUUUUCAACAUUAUCUUCAAAAGUCAUGAUUUUCUUUUUCUGUGAAAGGAGAAUAUUAUUCAUUUAACUCAUUGCAAUGAAUUUUCUGUGAUUUUUAUGCAUGACCCUGUUCAAUGCUGUGGUUUUGUACAGUGCUAUGGUGGAAUUAGCUAGCUUUUGGUUUUCUAGCAUUUGAAUACUCUCUUACUUGGAGACUGCCGUUUGUUAUGCAGGCCUUUGUGGGAGGGAUGGUGAGAUCCCCAAACGAAACAAAAGGAAGGAACAAAUAUCCUCUCUCCCUGUUCUUUGCUGCUUGAGUAACCUGGACUUGGCCAAUCAGAUGCUCCUGUCCAACACUGUGAGGUCAUCUGUGGAAAUUUCUAGCACU